GAUGAAGAACGUAGCGAAAUGCGAUACGUAAUGUGAAUUGCAGAAUUCAGUGAAUCAUCGAGUCUUUGAACGCACAUUGCGCCCCCUGGUAUUCCGGGGGGCAUGCCUGUCCGAGCGUCAUUGCUGCCCUCAAGCACGGCUUGUGUGUUGGGCCUCCGUCCUCCUCCCGGGGGACGGGCCCGAAAGGCAGCGGCGGCACCGCGUCCGGUCCUCGAGCGUAUGGGGCUUCGUCACCCGCUCUUGUAGGCCCGGCCGGCGCUUGCCGACACAUCAAUCUUUUUUCCAGGUUGACCUCGUAUCAGGUAGGGAUACCCGCUGAACUUAAGCAUAUCAAUAAGCGGAGGA
rnacentral:misc_RNA from 1 species